rfam:Mogibacterium sp. CM50 ctg120007703373, whole genome shotgun sequence.
UAAGUUCUGGGAUAUGCGUUGUGUAUCAUUAAUUGAACCUACACUUCUUGCACGGGAUUCCGCGUUCGCUGCUAGGCGAUAUACUCGAUUAUCGGGUUUCCGAUAUAUCCGGGAAUUACUGAAUAGCGACAGGAAGUACCCACCUUAUCUUUCGAUAGGGCGUCAAUUAAGAGCAUGACGGUAUUUCGGAUCUUUG